rnacentral:rRNA from 1 species
AUUGAACGCUGGCGGCAUGCCUUACACAUGCAAGUCGAACGGUAGCAGGUCUUCGGCUGCUGACUAGUGGCGAACGGGGGAGUAUUACAUCGGAACGUGUCCAGACGUGGUGGGUAACGGGGCGAAAGCUGUGCUAAUACCGCAUACGAGCUAAGAAUGAGAGCAGGGGACCGCAAGGCUUUGUGCGUUUGGAGCGGCCGAUGGCAGAUUAGGUAGUUGGUGGGGUAAAAGCUUACCAAGCCGACGAUCUGUAGCUGGUCUGAGAGGACGACCAGCCACACUGGAACUGAGACACGGCCCAGACUCCUACGGGAGGCAGCAGUGGGGAAUUUUGGACAAUGGGCGAAAGCCUGAUCCAGCAAUGCCGCGUGAGGGAUGAAGGCCUUCGGGUUGUAAAGUGCUUUUGUUCGGAACGAAAAGGAUCUGGCUAAUACCUGGGGCACAUGACGGUACCGAAAGAAUAAGCACCGGCUAACUACGUG